rnacentral:rRNA from 1 species
UACGAAGGGGGCUAGCGUUGCUCGGAAUUACUGGGCGUAAGGGGCGCGUAGGCGGAUAUUUAAGUCGGGGGUGAAAGCCCGGGGCUCAACCUCGGAAUUGCCUUCGAUACUGGAUAUCUUGAGUUCGGGAGAGGUGAGUGGAAUGCCGAGUGUAGAGGUGAAAUUCGUAGAUAUUCGGCGGAACACCAGUGGCGAAGGCGACUCACUGGCCCGAUACUGACGCUGAGGCGCGAAAGCGUGGGGAGCAAACAGG